GAUUUGUGGAACACAUUUGAAAUGCAGAUCAUCUCAUGCUGUACCAUCCUUUUUAUUUUAUUAUUAAAUAUGUUGUGUACAGGUAUACAGCUUAUAUUGCGAUUUCCUAACAUUUUACAUUUAACUUAAACUUUUAAACUUUAAAUUUAAAUUAAAUAAAAAUAUAUGUUUAAAAAUGUGCUUAUUCAAGGUAAAGAAAACAAAGAUGGGAACAUCAUCUUCGAUCCACCAGAAGUUACUGCAGUUUCAGGAUUAUGUGCUCUCAUUUCAUGUACCUUCACUCAAGGUAAAACUCAACUUCAAACUGUUCAGUGGAAAGUGUGUAAUAAACCAAGUGAAUGUAAGACAAUAUUUGAGAUGCCAAACCGUAGAAGAAAGCAAAGUGAAACGGAACAGAUUAAGUGGCUUGAACCUGACCUGAGCAAAAACAACUGCAGCAGCAUCAUCAAAGAAAUAAAGGAAGAUGAAAGAGAAUAUGCUUUCACAAUUGUGGGGCAUGGCCAAAAUUCACAUAACUCCAAUGUCAAAAUCAUCAUCCAAGAUGAGCCUAUAAUGUACGUUCCUCUUCUCAGUGAAGGAGAGGAGGCCAAUCUGACAUGUCCAGCUCCUUUUCCUUGUCCUGAAACUCCUCCUGAAAUAACAUGGUGGAUCAAGACAAGAGAGGGAAACAUCAUUGAUCUAAAGGACAACAUCAUCACACUGAUCACCUCCAAAAUCCUUUACCUCUCAACUUUGACAUUAACUCCAACCUCUGACCUGCACAAUGCCACUGUAGGAUGUGACGUCAGCUACGGAAGCAAAAACAUCAGUACGAGUGGGACCCUCGA
ensembl:lncRNA